rnacentral:rRNA from 1 species
UACGUAGGUGGCAAACGUUGUCCGGAUUCACUGGGCGUAAAGCGCGCGCAGGUGGUUUGUCGCGUCGUGCGUGAAAGACCCCGGCUCAACUGGGGAGGGUCGUGCGAUACGGGCGAACUGGAGGCCAGUAGGGGGAUGCGGAAUUCCGGGUGUAGUGGUGGAAUGCGUAGAGAUCCGGAGGAACACCAGCGGCGAAGGCGGCAUCCUGGACUGGUCCUGACACUCAUGAGCGAAAGCGUGGGGAGCGAUCCGG